UGCGUGGUCCAUUUUUGGUCGGAUUUGGACCAAGUUUUGAGCUGUUCCAAAACUGGUUUGACAAAUGUUUGUUUACCAGUUCGGAUGUUUUACGCUGAAACAGUCACCACAGUCACCGUCUCUAGUUCCUACUCAUUUGAGCGCUACCCAUAAUAGAAAAUUUCAUCUUUCAUCGCAACAAACACGACCUUGCAAUACAUCUGAAUGGGGAAUUCGUGUUCCGGGAGCGCCGAGAUGACCAGCGGCCAACAGUAUCGGAAGCAAGCGGUCACUCUCUCUGACUUUCUUUCCCGACCUGAAACGGAUGCCACUCGGAAUGCGGUGUUCUUUCCAUAAUACCAAGCAGCGUUCUGAACAAACUGAUGAGAACAGCGGUGUCCGGAUCGAUUGCUCCGUUAUUGUGUGCUGCUUCCAUGGAUUCAACAGAUGGGCUGCACUCUCCGCCAAGUCUUGAGUUAGCCCAUUGCAUUUUUAAGGACUUUGUGAUACUCUCCAACAAAUCCACGGAACAGCUGGAA